GUGAGUGCGGUUCUCAGUGCUUACUUGGGGAUUCCAUGGAGGAGGAGUUCUCUAUUAGAGUCUGGGUAGCAUUAUUUAUUUAUUGGGACAGGAUUAAAUGCAGGAGUUUAUUAAGUUCUUGCCUGAAUACUGGGGCACUUUCUGUUCAGUAAGGCUGUGGAUCUAUUACGAAUUUGUUUGUCUCUUGGUACAGAGCAGCAAGUACAUUUGCAAACAUAUUCGCUAAAUGGAGGGAAAGAUACUGCAGCUGUAAACCGGAUUAAAGGAAAAGUAAAGUUACAACAUGCUGUCAUGUUUAUGGUACAUAAUCGGUGCUGCAAAACUUCUUUCUUCAACUGCUAAAGUUCAUUGCUAUCUUAAAUGUGUCUUCAUAUUCAUUGAUAACAUCAAGCAACUGUGAAAAUUUUGACAUCACUAUCCUAUGGGACAUCAAACAGUGCUUUAGCACUACCUUUGCUGGCAUCCCAUCUACCGUAAUUGGAAGGUGUGCAGGGACAUAAGUAAGUUUGAGAUCUGCUGCUUCCAUCUACCAGGUGGCAGGAAUUAGCCUUGCAAUCAUACAUAUACCUCAAACCUGCAGGCUUCUUUUUCACAAACAAAACAGAGGAAGCAUUCAUUUUCCAUUUUUUUUUUUGAGAAAAGGAUUAAAUUUUAACUCAUGUCACAAAUGCCACUCCACCAAAUUCAUCAGGGGAAGCAGUUUAUUUACUGGUGCCUGCUACACUAAGAGGGAUUAGAGUGGCAUUAUACUGGAACCUGAUGUUGAUGCAGUUCUUCCCACCACAGCUGGAAAGCCUUGACAACAUGCUGUUUGACAAGGACCCAAUCUCCUGGAGCAAGGGUAUACAUUUCUGGAAUAUCUGCUGGAUCUGGCAAUAAAGAAUACACU